rnacentral:rRNA from 1 species
GAUGAAUGCUGGCGGCGUGCCUAACACAUGCAAGUCGAGCGGCAGCGAGUUUUACACUGCCUUCUGGAAGCUUCUGAGUAGUACAGAAGAUUUAUUCAAGAGUUUUGUGUAAAAUGUCGGCGAGCGGCGGACGGCUGAGUAACGCGUAGGAAUUUGCCCCAAAGUGAGGAAUAACUGCCCGAAAGGGUAGCUAAUGCCGCAUAUGGUCUUCGGAUUAAAGCCUUCGGGCGCUUUGGGGGAAGCCUGCGUUGGAUUAGGUAGUUGGUAGGGUAAUGGCCUACCAAGCCGACGAUCCAUAGCUGGUCUGAGAGGAUGAUCAGCCAGACUGGAACUGAGACACGGUCCAGACUCCUACGGGAGGCAGCAGUGAGGAAUCUUCCACAAUGGGCGAAAGCCUGAUGGAGCAACGCCGCGUGAAGGAUGAAGGCCUUCGGGUUGUAAACUUCUUUUAUGAGUGAAGAAUAUGACGGUAACUCAUGAAUAAGCACCGGCUAACUACGUG